AAAAAAUCCAACUUACAUUUUGUUUUGCAAACUCAGUUUAUAAAGUUAAUUCAACAAUUUAACAUUAAAAAAGUUGAGACAACACAGAAAUGUAAGUUGAAUAGGAAUUUAGAUCAAUUUGUUACACCAAAUUAAUAUUUCAAGUUAGAACAACUAACAACUUUAAGUUGGUUAUUAAUAUUGCCCACGAAGGCUGAUGAGCAUGCGCAGUUCGAAUGCUUUUUUAUAAACGACGCCAUUUUAAUUUCUCCUGUUUCAUUUUCGAGUCACCUUAAGCGGUCUCUGUUUAUUCCCUUAUUGUGAUCGCUCUGGUGGCGGCAAGUUAGUCAGUUAAAUUUUCCUGCCUGGUCUUAUUGUUGCCUCAGGUCAGACGUCGCCUAUUAUUUCUGCCUGACAGUGUAAAUUAAUCUCUCCGGUAGGUGCUGUUCUUUAUAUAAUAUUUACCAUAAGAGUUGAAAUGUGUUUGUUCAAAAUAUGUGAUUUUGUAUGCCGUUUUAGAGUUGCCCUAGGCGGCGCCCAGUUAACGUUGGUCCGUCAUUGUUAUCACUCCGGUAAGCGGUGGUUCUUUGUGUAUCAAUUUAAGCCAUGAUUUAAAUGAAAUUUGUUCACAAUAUGCACAUCUUUACAACGGUGUAGGUGGCGGCAAGUUAGUCAUUUCAGUUUUAAUGCUUUGUCUUCGAGUUGCAUGAGAAGAGUCAGACGAGCGUGAGGUUUUUUUUCCUCGCGGUGCAAUAGCUCUGGCAGGUGGCUCCAAACUGGUCAGUUCAACCUGCUUUGUCUUCGAGAAGUCUUUAAGUCAUUCGGUGGCUUUUUUCCCGACAGUAUCAUGACUUAGGUUGAUGCAGUGCAAGAUAUGCAGAUUUGAACACCCUGCCCAGGAGGUCCUUUUGAAACAUGACCAAUUGUGCCACUACCAGGGAAGAUACUGCCAACUACCCUGCCUCUACACAGAUUGCAUCUGCUCCUUUAAAACCACUGGUUGAAGUCUCACCUUAUCUUCACGUGAGAGUCACUUAACAUUGAAUGGUGAAUUGUGUGACUUUAAGGAAAUUUGUAAAACACCCUAUUACUCCAAACAUAUAUGGAGCCAUUUAAAAAAAAUCAUGAAACUUCAUGAUCACAGAAGUCAAAAACAUUGCAGCUUUUCCAUUACAGACUUUAAAGCAAAUAUCAUUAUUCAAAAUGCAGAACCAAAAGACAGCGAGCCACAAACUGUUGUUAUGCACACACUUUUAUCACCAUUGCAGUUAAUUUUAUAUUGCUUGUGAUAGAUAUGAAGGGCAGAUAUGAAAGCCAAUACAUUUUUGACUGGACCCGUUGUUAUUUUUGCACAUUAUUUUGGACUUGAAUUUUGUGAUAGUUAAUUUAAUUGGAAAAGCAUCAAAUAAAAACUGUGUAGAAGUUUUUAAUUUUGCAACACAAAUGUGACAAAUAAGCUCUUAACUUGAAAAAAAAAGUUCUAUUGUAAUUAAUUUUAUUGCGAAUGAAAUUACUUGAUUUGGUUUGUGAUUUAAACUUGCUGUUCUACAAAAAAAAAAAUAAUCAUAUUGAUGAAAAAAAAAAUUUGAUUCUGUCCAUUUAAAGAUUAUUUUGAAGACCAAUGUUGUACUGAGUAGCAUAUAACAAAUUAAUUCACUCAUAUUGGAUUGGCAGUUUUGUGCUUAACUUUAAACUUCUUGAGUAAAACCUAAAGUUCUGAAGCUGCACUGUAAAAACCAAAAAAAAAAGU